CUACCGUUUUUAUUUUCAUGAACAACGCUCCAAGCGUUGCUCGACUUUUCUCUUUUCUGACAGUUUCUUCAGGAGUCAGGCUUUCUUAGAUACACUUACAAAACGACUAUGAGCCAUGGUUGAUGAUAAAACCAGACAGGACGACAAGAAGUAGUCACAAGAAAGAGUGCUCUGUCAAGCAAAGAAGCAGCUAUUAUAUUAUUAUUAUUUUAUAAAAUAAAAUCAUGUAAUUAUAGACCUGCUAGUACCAAGAUCAAAAUGCAUGACGCUUGAAUCUUUUAUAAAAUAAAAUAUAUAUAUAUAUAAUACAAGUUUUUGAAAGUAAGAGUAGAAUAAUGAUAGAAAUAUAGUAAUAAUACUGAUAACUAAUGCUUAUCACACAAUAAAUGGAGACUACACCGAGCCUGGUGGCCCGUCCUCCAACGACACGAGUACUUCACACCUCGACUUAACACAGCGUCUCUUUGAGUUGAGGUCCACACUGAACUGAUAUGACAGUAGUAUCUCCAGAGCGGCAGUCAAGAACAAGCAUAGUAGUAUCUGUGGAGUAAAGAAAACUCGAGAAAACCAAGGAGGCAAGGACAAAACGUUGAGCCAACGUAAAAACGUGCUCGGUGGAAAAA
rnacentral:lncRNA from 1 species